GGAUGUGAGGGCGAUCUGGCUGCGACAUAUGUCACCCCAUUGAUCACCAGGGUUGAUUUGGCUGAUCUGGCUGGCUAGGUGGAUGUCCGCUUCCUCCCUCACCGGUCCAUGUGUGUCCCUCCCGAAGCUGUGCGCUCAGUCGAAGAGGAUGGCCUUCCCCAAUAGAGAUGUACCAUUCAGGUCAAGCUGACAGGCCUGUAAUUCCCUAGAUCCUCCAUCCGAUCCUUCUUGUGGAUGGGCGUCACAUUGGCAAGGCUCCAGUCAUCUGGGACCUCCUCUGUU
rnacentral:snRNA from 1 species